rnacentral:lncRNA from 1 species
CUUGUUAUUUAAACUCAAAUUAUUAUCUCCCAUCUUUCUAUUUCUCUUAUUUUUUUGGAAAAACUUCAAAAACCCCCCCCUGUGGUUUCAUGCAUUCUCACUUUAGUACCCUGUGGUUUAAAACGUAUCAAUUUGCCCCCAUGUGGUUUCAUUUUUAUCUUUUCAGAAGCUUUUUCGUUAAUAUUUCGUUAAAUUAUAUACAAAAAACUUCAGAUAACUAUCUAUGUUUAUCGAAUAUUCACUUUAGUAUCCUUUAAUUUUAAUUUUGUCACUGAUUUAAGAAAAAAAAAUAAUAAAAUUGAUAACAAAAAGAGAAAAAUGAAACCACAGGGGGGCAAAUUGAUACGUUUUAAACCACAGGGUAUGAAAGUGAGAAUGCAUGAAACCACAGGGGGGGUUUUUGAAGUUUUCCCUAUUUUUUUUCCUUUAAUUUCUCCUCCU